AACGAACGCUGGCGGCAUGCCUAACACAUGCAAGUCGAACGAGACCUUCGGGUCUAGUGGCGCACGGGUGCGUAACGCGUGGGAACCUGCCCUUAGGUUCGGAAUCACUCCCCGAAAGGGGUGCUAAUACCGGAUAAUGUCUUCGGACCAAAGAUUUAUCGCCUUUGGAUGGGCCCGCGUUGGAUUAGCUAGUUGGUAGGGUAAAAGCCUACCAAGGCGACGAUCCAUAGCUGGUCUGAGAGGAUGAUCAGCCACACUGGGACUGAGACACGGCCCAGACUCCUACGGGAGGCAGCAGUGGGGAAUAUUAGACAAUGGGCGAAAGCCUGAUCCAGCAAUGCCGCGUGAGUGAUGAAGGCCUUAGGGUUGUAAAGCUCUUUUACCCGGGAUGAUAAUGACAGUACCGGGAGAAUAAGCUCCGGCUAACUCCGUG
rnacentral:rRNA from 1 species